UCUAAUCGGACAAAGCACCGCGACGCGUAAUCAUGGAGGUGCGAGUUCGAGUCUCAUAACCGGCCGCCAACACUUUUUUCUGCAAACUAGGGGUAGCUUAUCCUGUUUAGGCUAUAUUAUUAGCAUUAUCCUGCGUUUGAGAAUUUAAAAUGACUUCUUUAACUUUCUAAGACG